UACGUAGGCAAUGAGAUCUGGUUAAUAAAAAUAACAAAGGUUUCUUUUGUUUGGUUAUAACCAGAAUUAAGAUGUGAGAUGACAAGGGUAAUUAAGCACAAUUGCUAACGUAACGGUAAAAUAUUUUGAUAUUAGUACGAAUACCGAUGGCGAAAGCGGCUUUCUUUGGAAUCUAACGCUGAGGUGCGAAAGCAUGGGAAUCAAACA
rnacentral:rRNA from 1 species